UAACUUCAUUUACUGGGCCGACUGCCGGCAACUUUUAAGGUGGAACGUUAACUUGUAAUGUUACUCAAUGCAUGAGUUGAUGACGUGAAUCCAUCAGCACACCUUAAAUUUCACUGUGACAACUUUGACCAUCACUUUAGUUUUUAUAUGACACACACUUUUAGUAAUGACUUUAAAAAUAUAGAUUAAUUUGGAGCGGAUUAUGUGAAGGUCAUAUAUUCUAAUCCUCACUUCCUGUGGGCUACAGCAACACUAAACCCCUGAGCUUGCCUGAGAAGGACUAAAUGCACAAAGCUGCUAUUUUUAAAUAUCCCAUGGAGAGAGACUCUCACUGCAGCCUGUUCUAUUUUGUUCUGAAAAUGUGGGCGUGCAGCCUCGUUCUGUGGACGAUAAACCAGGUGCAGACUUCCAUCUGUGUCACCGCUGAUGAGGAAAUACAGCGAGUGCUGGACGGAGCAGUGAGUGACAACAACCCCGCCCACAUUUAAGAGGACUGUCUGAACAGACCGAGGGUCUAGGUACCAUGUCUGAAGGCUUACUGCUGGUUCCAAAGGUGCUGGACUGAAAGGGUUUGGUGGAGACGUGGCGUUAGUCUACGAGUGGAGGAGGCAGACCAUCCAACUUGAAUUUACAGACAGCGAUGGUGAUUAAAGAUUUGUCAUAAAUCUAAGUGCUCUAUGGGUAACAGUAUCCAGGGUGUGUAGACGUAAGAUCGCCACAGUCCAGCACAGACAUAAAGGUGGCAGCAACAAGUCUCCUUUUGGUCUCGAAGGAAAAGCAACACUUGUUUCAAAAAUAAAAAUUCAAUUCAAACUUCAGUUUUUUCUGAUGUGAGGCUUUAAAGAAAGACAAUCAUAAAUCAAAAUUUCAAGAUACUUGUAAGA